UUAAAAACACACGCCACUAUACUUUUGAACCCGGGAUUUCGGAAUAUUCUAGAGAAAGCGUCCCUAAAUUUAAAUAAAAAUAACAUUUGACAUGUAGGAGUAGGCUAUCCGUUCGAUUCGUUUGUGGAGACCGCUACUCGAUCGGAACCACUCUCAAUUAACAAGAAAACACGGCGUUGAAAGAUUUAAAUUAAUCGUAAUAUGCUUCAAAUUUCAAUGUAUACCAAAUGGAAUGAGUCGUUAUUUGUAGUAGUUGUCUGCUUACCAGUAGCUGUCGUUUGUUUAGUUUUAUUUCCUUCCGUGUUUAGAGUUGUACCUGAUUCACCUGUUUGACGCAAUAAACUCCGCCUCUGCGGCCUCAAAUAAAAUUAGAGCAGUAAAUCUUUAACCAGCAGUCCGAUAGUUAAAAUGCGGGUUGGAGGUUGGUAUGGCACAGCAGACGGGAAAGAAAAGGCAGGCAAUUCUUUCAACAAAUACUGUACAAAUAUUGCACAGUGCGAUCAGGUGGAAAUAACCGUAGACGACGCCUCAACAUGCUGGUUGACAUUAUACGUCAACGUGUUCGCCAUCUUGCGGCAGUCACUUGACAAGACCUCAGCACUGAAACAGUCUGCCAGCCGUCACAACAGCUGCUUGUUCGCCAUAUGUGUUUGUGGCACUGUUAUCAGCAUUAAAUAUGUCCAUAUUUUUGGAAUGCACGGUGCGCAACACCUCAUGCACCUUAGACGAACUGUCACAGAAAUCACAAACGAUAAAGUGCUGUUUUAUGUGUACCUAUGUUGAGACUGGCCGCCUCUCACGUCCAUACUAAAAAUGCCAGAAAGUCCACAGAAAGCACAAUAUCAGUAGUGAAGUUAUGUCAAGAAGGAAAAACAAUGAUGGCAGCAAGAGGGUUACAAACGUCAAUGCAGCAGUGACAAUAAUGAAGGAAUGAACUUGUUUUUUUUUUUUCCUAUGAAGGACGCCAUUUAACACCUGGCAUGGACAGCCUUUCUCCGGCAUCUGGAUGACCAAA